UACGUAGGGGGCAAGCGUUGUCCGGAAUCAUUGGGCGUAAAGCGCGUGUAGGCGGUUCGGUAAGUCUGCUGUGAAAGUCCAGGGCUCAACCCUGGGAUGCCGGUGGAUACUGUCGGACUAGAGUACGGAAGAGGCGAGUGGAAUUCCCGGUGUAGCGGUGAAAUGCGAAGAUAUCGGGAGGAACACCAAUUGCGAAGGCAGCUCGCUGGGACGUCACUGACGCUGAGACGCGAAAGCGUGGGGAGCAAACAGG
rnacentral:rRNA from 1 species